UAGGGAAUCUUCCACAAUGGGCGCAAGCCUGAUGGAGCAACACCGCGUGAGUGAAGAAGGGUUUCGGCUCGUAAAGCUCUGUUGUUAAAGAAGAACACGUAUGAGAGUAACUGUUCAUACGUUGACGGUAUUUAACCAGAAAGUCACGGCUAACUACGUGCCAGCAGCCGCGGUAAUACGUAGGUGGCAAGCGUUAUCCGGAUUUAUUGGGCGUAAAGAGAGUGCAGGCGGUUUUCUAAGUCUGAUGUGAAAGCCUUCGGCUUAACCGGAGAAGUGCAUCGGAAACUGGAUAACUUGAGUGCAGAAGAGGGUAGUGGAACUCCAUGUGUAGCGGUGGAAUGCGUAGAUAUAUGGAAGAACACCAGUGGCGAAGGCGGCUACCUGGUCUGCAACUGACGUUGAGACUCGAAAGCAUGGGUAGCGAACAGGAUUAGAUACCCUGGUAGUCCAUGCCGUAAACGAUGAGUGCUAGGUGUUGGAGGGUUUCCGCCCUUCAGUGCCGGAGCUAACGCAUUAAGCACUCCGCCUGGGGAGUACGACCGCAAGGUUG
rnacentral:rRNA from 1 species